ensembl:snRNA U6 U6 spliceosomal RNA
GUGCUUAUUUUUGCAACACAUGUAGAACAAUUAGAACAAUACAGAGAUUAGUAUAAUUCUUGCACAAGGAUGACAUGCAAAUUGGUGAAGCAUUCUACAUUUUU